ACAUGCUUGUCGAGCGAACAGACGAGGAGCUUACUCCUCUGACGUUAGCGGCGGACGGGUGAGUAACACGUGGAUAACCUACCUAUAAGACUGGGAUAACUUCGGGAAACCGGAGCUAAUACCGGAUAACAUGUUGAACCGCAUGGUUCAACAGUGAAAGACGGUCUUGCUGUCACUUAUAGAUGGAUCCGCGUCGCAUUAGCUAGUUGGUAAGGUAACGGCUUACCAAGGCAACGAUGCGUAGCCGACCUGAGAGGGUGAUCGGCCACACUGGAACUGAGACACGGUCCAGACUCCUACGGGAGGCAGCAGUAGGGAAUCUUCCGCAAUGGGCGAAAGCCUGACGGAGCAACGCCGCGUGAGUGAAGAAGGUCUUCGGAUCGUAAAACUCUGUUAUUAGGGAAGAACAAAUGUGUAAGUAACUAUGCACGUCUUGACGGUACCUAAUCAGAAAGCCACGGCUAACUACGUGCCAGCAGCCGCGGUAAUACGUAGGUGGCAAGCGUUAUCCGGAAUUAUUGGGCGUAAAGCACGCGUAGGCGGUUUUUUAAGUCUGAUGUGAAAGCCCACGGCUCAACCGUGGAGGGUCAUUGGAAACUGGAAAACUUGAGUGCAGGAGAGGAAAGUGGAAUUCCAUGUGUAGCGGUGAAAUGCGCAGAGAUAUGGAGGAACACCAGUGGCGAAGGCGACUUUCUGGUCUGUAACUGACGCUGAUGUGCGAAAGCGUGGGGAUCAAACAGGAUUAGAUACCCUGGUAGUCCACGCCGUAAACGAUGAGUGCUAAGUGUUAGGGGGUUUCCGCCCCUUAGUGCUGCAGCUAACGCAUUAAGCACUCCGCCUGGGGAGUACGACCGCAAGGUUGAAACUCAAAGGAAUUGACGGGGACCCGCACAAGCGGUGGAGCAUGUGGUUUAAUUCGAAGCAACGCGAUGAACCUUACCAAAUCUUGACAUCCUCUGACCCCUCUAGAGAUAGAGUUUUCCCCUUCGGGGGACAGAGUGACAGGUGGUGCAUGGUUGUCGUCAGCUCGUGUCGUGAGAUGUUGGGUUAAGUCCCGCAACGAGCGCAACCCUUAAGCUUAGUUGCCAUCAUUAAGUUGGGCACUCAAGUUGACUGCCGGUGACAAACCGGAGGAAGGUGGGGAUGACGUCAAAUCAUCAUGCCCCUUAUGAUUUGGGCUACACACGUGCUACAAUGGACAAUACAAAGGGUAGCGAAACCGCGAGGUCAAGCAAAUCCCAUAAAGUUGUUCUCAGUUCGGAUUGUAGUCUGCAACUCGACUACAUGAAGCUGGAAUCGCUAGUAAUCGUAGAUCAGCAUGCUACGGUGAAUACGUUCCCGGGUCU
rnacentral:rRNA from 1 species